AUGGACACCAGCUCCAAGAUCACCACCAAGGACCUAAAGGAGAAGAAGGAAGUUGUGGAGAAGGCAGAGAAUGGAAGAGAUGCACCUGCCAAUGGGAACGAUCAAAAUGAGGAAAAUGGGGAGCAGGAGGCUGACAAUGAGGUAGAUGAAGAAGAGGAAGAAGGUGGGGAGGAAGAGGAGGAGGAAGAAGGUGACGGUGAGGAAGAGGAUGGAGAUAAAGAUGCGGAAACUGAGGCUCCUAAGGGCAAGCGGGUAGCUUAGGAUGAUGAGGAUGACGAUGUCGACACCAAGAAACAGAAGACCGAGGAGGAUGACUAGACAGCAAAAGGAAAAGUAA